rnacentral:rRNA from 1 species
ACCCGCUGAACUUAAGCAUAUCAAUAAGCGGAGGAAAAGAAACUAACAAGGAUUCCCCUAGUAACUGCGAGUGAAGCGGGAAAAGCUCAAAUUUAAAAUCUGGCAGCCUUUGGCUGUCCGAGUUGUAGUCUGGAGAAGUGUUUUCCGCGCUGGACCGUGUACAAGUCUCCUGGAACGGAGCGUCAUAGAGGGUGAGAAUCCCGUCUUUGACACGGACUACCAGUGCUUUGUGAUGCGCUCUCAAAGAGUCGAGUUGUUUGGGAAUGCAGCUCAAAAUGGGUGGUAAACUCCAUCUAAAGCUAAAUAUUGGCGAGAGACCGAUAGCGAACAAGUACCGUGAGGGAAAUAUGAAAAGCACUUUGGAAAGAGAGUUAAACAGUACGUGAAAUUGCUGAAAGGGAAACGCUUGAAGUCAGUCGCGUUUGCUAGGACUCAGCCUUGCAUUAGCUAAGGUGCACUUCCUAGUAGACGGGCCAGCAUCACUUUUGGCUGCGGGAAAAAGGUUAGAGGAAUGUGGCACCUCCGGGUGUGUUAUAGCCUCUGGCUGUAUACCGUGGCUGGGAGUGAGGAACUCAGCACGCCUUUAUGGCGGGGCUUCGGCCACCUUCGUGCUUAGGAUGCUGGCGUAAUGGCUUUAAACGACCCGUCUUGAAACACGG